GCCAUCUGCCCAGGACAGUUGAAACUGGGAUUCAUCCGUGAAGAGCACACUUCUCCAGCGUGCUAGUGGCCAUUGAAUGUGAGCAUUUUCCCACUGAAGUCGGUUACGAAGUAGGGCUGGGCGAUAUAUCGAUAUAAAAAAUAUAUCGAUAUAUUUUAAAUGUGAUUUGAAAUUAGACCAUUUCGCAUAUAUCGAUAUAGUUCAAAUUUGCGCUUUGAUCCUUGCUCCAAGCAAGCUGCAGACCCGGAGCUCUCUGCACUGUUCCCCGCGCCCCGCUCCUCCUCUUUCAUGCACAGAGGGGGGAGGGGCAGGAACAGACACUUCAGCAAACAUGGAGGAAGCAACAGCGUCUGCGGAGCGUUUUGAGGAGGAAUUGGUUAGUAAAAGAAAAAGCAUUGGCUCAGUAAUUUGGAGAUGGUUCGGAUUCAAAGUAUUAGAUGAGCAACAAAAUCACGUUAUAUGUAGGCAGUGCAUUAAAAAAGUUACAGCCAGGGGUGGAAGCACUACAAAUCUUUUUCACCACCUAAAACAGUGGCACAAACUGCAAUACGAAGAGUGUGUGAAACUGCGCGCUGCAGAAGCCCCAGCCGCAAGCUGUCGACAACCCGAAAAAGCUCCAGCCCCGAAACAAAGCUCACUGCAAACUUCAUUUUCCCGCAGUGUGCCUUAUGAAAAGAAAAUUGGCAAGUGGUGUACUAUAACUAAAGCGGUGUCCUAUCACAUUGCUAAAGAUAUGGUCCCUGUUGCAACUGUGGAACAAGUCGGAUUCAAAAAGCUACUGAAAACUAUGGACCUUAUGGAGCUUUGAUUUAAAAAAAGGACCUGAGCCCUAGGACCAUGCCUCAGGACUACCUGGCUUGAUGACUCCUUGCUGUCCCCAGUUCACCUGGCCGUCCUGCUGCUCCAGUUCCAACUGUUCUGCCUGCAGCUAUGGAACCCUGACCUGUUCGCCGGACGUGCUACCUGUCCCAGACCUGUUGUCCCAGACCUGCUGGAACCCUGACCUAUUCACCGGACGUGCUACCUAUCCCAGACCUGCUGUUUUCAACUCUCUAGAGACAGCAGGAGCGGUAGAGAUACUCUCAAAGAUCGGCUAUGAAAAAGCCAACUGACACUUACUCCUGUGUUACUGACUUGUUGCACCCUCGACAACUACUAUGAUUAUUAUUAUUUGACAAUGCUGGUCAUUUAUGAACAUUUGAACAUCUAGGCCAUGUGCUGUUAUAAUCUCCACCCGGCACAGCCAGAAGAGGACUGGCCACCCCUCAUAGCCUGGUUCCUCUCUAGGUUUCUUCCUAGGUUUUGGCCUUUCUAGGGAGUUUUUCCUAGCCACCGUGCUUCGACACUUCUACACCUGCAUUACUUGCUGUUUGGGGUUUUAGGCUGGGUUUCUGUACAGCACUUUGUGAUAUCAGCUGAUGUAAGAAGGGCUAUAUAAAUACAUUUGAUUUGAUUUGAUAGGUGGCAUAUUUAAAAUGUCUAAAAUAUUAUGGAAGGGUCCAGUUGUAAAUGGAUAUAAAACAAUGUGGAAUUAAGCCAUAACACUAUUUCCCAAAAAUGAUUCCCAAAAUACUGUUUUAAAUGGUUUCCAGCCAUUGGUUUCCAGCUAUUUCACUUUUUGCCAUUAAUAUAACACAUACUGUAUUAUACAGCAUUGAGUCAUUGUGCAUCUGUUGUUAUCUGAGAUGUGGUUACAUUCAAGAAUGCAAUGAAAUAUUAUGUAACCAGGUCAGACUUGUCAACAACCCUCAUGUUGGAAACCAUUACAUAUAAACCUCAUAAUAAUAAUAAUAGUCUAUCAUUCAGACAUAACAUGUUUCUCUCAUCAUAGCUCAUAGUCAUAGGUGAAUUGAAUCAUAAUUCCCUUCAGUGAUGACACAAUACUGGGUGAAGGGACAGUGCACUGCAUUGAUCCUGUUAACAUGGUGUUUAGAUAAUAUGGUUACGUAGUGGCAGGCUCUCAGUGUCCAUGUAGUGAACAUGGGGCCCACCUUGUGGAGGCCAGCAGAGGUCGUACACAACCAAACAAAACCCAGACAAACAGCUCCAUAUGAAGAGAGAGAGUCAGGCAGAGCCACAGCAGUGUCCUGAGGCAGGCACACAGGGAUUACCUCCAUGGCUGCCACCAAUACAGCCGCGAUCUGCUGUGUCGCUCUGCCUAAUCCCUGCCGACCACGGCACACCCCCAGCACCCACGCUGCGAUCAAAUGACACCAGAGACAGCAGAGAGGCAUGAAAAGCCAACCCCGCUACCCAGACCGCUGCCAACCCUCAUGGAUAGCGUGGGCAAUACCCCCUUCCUCCGCUGUACCCACCAGCUCUCUGCUAGUGGGUGGCUGUAGAACAUAGGGAAAGGAGAGCUUUUCAGUGGAGGGUUUGUUGGUUUUCUCAGGUGCUGAAGAGGGUGGGUUGAGACAGAGCAGGGGACUUGAGCUUUAACUCAAAGGGGUCGCUACCACUUUAAUGAGCGAUGUCAUCAGUUAAAAGUGAGUGCGUUUAUGCAGUGGGAGAAAUACAGUGUUAUAAAUAAUAGGGGAGUUUAUAUGACUGAUUCUCAGAGCAUUAAUCUAGCUUCUGAUAUCUCUGAUGAAAGCUACACAUGAGUCAUUGUUAAUUCCAAUGAAUCAAUUACCGUUUCAUGCACCUAAAAAUAGAAUACUGAUAAAUCAAUGGGGACACUUCAGAGACUGAAAAAGAAAGGGGGGUUGAAGGGGAUGGGGUGCUUGUCUUUCCUGUGGAGGAUUAUACCAUUGCCACUCUUUACUGAUUAUUCUCAAUCAUUCACUGAUACACUUCUCUAGCUACAUUUGACGAGGCUACAACAGACCUUGAACUAAAAUGUUUUCAGCAAAUUCCCCUCUAAACAGAGUCCUACACCUUUCCAGUGAUUUCAGAGCAGACAAAAACACACAUAUUUCUAUUUCAUUGUCAGUAUCCUUGACUUGAAUAUUUCUAUAAUGGCUGUGACCUAUUUCCCAUUCAGGACAACAAUGACAGAAUACUUUUUUGGCAAUUUCACUCUGUGGAAAAGAAAGGGCGUAAUCCAUUUGAAAAGGUGUGCAGCGAUCUCCAGUGCCCAUUGGAUUGGUCACAGCUCAGCAAGCACGAUGCCUUCUGCGCAGACAGUGUCCCCUGGACCUGCCCCUUCUCUCCACUAUUCAAAGUCUUCACACACCAUGGGCAUUGCAUGGCCUCCCUCACGCAAUGCACUAGGUACAAGGGCAGCCAGGUUCGUCUGUGCACAAUCACAACUGACGGCCACAUUCCAUUCCAAUUGCAGUGAUGAAAAUAUCCCCUCUGUGCAUAUUACUGUGGUUAUAUACACUACAUACACACACCCACACACACACACAUAACACACGCGCAUACCGGAACAACACAAACACACAUACAUACACAUAACACACACGUAAACUCACGCACACACUUUUACACAUCAUUUGCUGCUGCUACUCUGUUCUUUAUUUUAUUCUUAUCUAACCUGAUGCCUAGUCACUUUACCCGGCCUUCAUGUACAUAUCUACCUCGUACCUCUGCACAUUGAUCUGGUACUGGUACUCCCUGUAUAUAACUGCACAUUGAUCUGGUACUGGUACUCCCUGUAUAUAGCUCCACAUUGAUCUGGUACUGGUACUCCCUGUAUAUAACUCCACAUUGAUCUGGUACUGAUACACAAUAACGGAGUUAUAUACAGGGAGUAUUUUAUUUUAUUCCUCUUGUGUUACUAUUUUAUUUGUAUUAUUAUUUUUAAAACUGCAUCCUUGAGAAGGGCUCGUAAACAAGAAUUUCAUGGUAAAGUCUACACCAGUUGUAUUCGGCACAUGUGACAAACACAAUUUGAUUUGAUUUGAGACAAAUUGAUCAGAGAUGAAAAGAGAGAUAAAAAAGCAGCAUUGUUCUACUAAUCGGAGCAUUCCACACAGUGUUCACUUUCUUACAAUCACAACAUCUCACCAAACCCGUCGAGUCCAUAGCUCCGCUGCCCUACCUGUCUCUGACAGAGGAGAGUGAAUUCAUUAAGAUAAUAAAUUGCACAUGUCAUAUUUGUCAUCUUUUCAAUCAUCGGUUAAUGAGGUGAAACAUGUGGAAGGGCGUUUCUCUGAGUGAGCUGAGCUGCCUUGGCAAAGGAGCAUGGAAUGACAUCACCCUGACUGAGGGACAUUGAGGAGAUGCAUCUGAAAAGGGGAGGCCUGACAUAAAAUUUGAAUGGCACCAUGAGGUAAAGCUUGUCUUUAUCUGAUGUGAAAUGUGUACAUUUAUAGGCAUGCGUGAUGCCAAAUGUCUAUAUGGAUUGGAUUCAGCAUACUCAUGAAUACAAAUGAUCAGAGAGAGAGAUGGGGAGAGAGAAAGAGAGAGAGAUAGAUGGAGAGAGAGUAAGAGUCAGUCAACUGGGGGGGUCAUAGAGAGAGGCUCAGUUAGCUGAUACCAAUGUAUCUUGAUUAGAAUAUUGUCUGCAAUUUACAAAUGAAAAUGAAUAGAUUUUUCCCUGCCCUGACCUCCAUUAAAAGCACUUCAUUGUUGAUGAGCCAUGAUGCCAUCUGCUAUCGAUUGGAGAGCAUCAGUAUGGCCAAUCCUGCCUCAUCACAAGGAGGUCAUCCAAAGCAAUCUGGGCCUAUUGAGAGAUUGAUCAGGUGAAGGAAGCUGGGAGCUGCCACUUGGGCCUACUCAAGGCCUAAAAGUCUGUAGUGUGUACUGGUGAUGCACCCCAGUCACUGUCCCUCUACGGAGGUUAGGAAAGGGGAGCGUCUCAAAUCUAAAUGCUAAUGUCUUCUUUAAGAGCCUGGAUGCCCUUUAACCACUACAGUGAGGAGUGAGGGAUGGUUCUCUGUGUCUCGACAGCUCUAUCUUGUCUCUACUCCUGACCCACCUCCAGUCUCCCUCCCACACAGGUUACUGGUACAAACCAUUUGUAAUAGGAUUCAAAGCUGCCCACAGACCAGACAUGAAUCACUUCCUGGUUGUUAUUGUAUAAACCAGAAAUCAUCAUCUAUUGAUGAUAUAUUUCCAGGAGAGCUGAUGUAACCAUCCAUAGCUUUUUUCAAGGACUACUGCGAUGCUCUCUAUAAAAUAUCCAAUACCUAUUUGCGUAGAACAUGUCAUGCUGGUUACAAAAUUGCUCGUGUUUUGAUGUGAAUGCUAGCUUAUUCUGUUUGAAAGCUUUUCAGAGAACAUGGAAUCAUUUAGUUUUGAUUUCACUUCACCAAAAUAGGGCUUGUAAAUCUAAUCAAAAUCCAACAAAAUCGGAAUUCUUCCUGAAUUAUUAUACACCAAGGAAAUUGACGUAGUGUAGGCCCCUCUGAAGGAGACAACCAUUAGGAACUCCUCUGGGCAAUAGAGAUAAUAAGCCUUACAUUACAGUACUCAGCCGCUAGCAGCUCUAGACUGUCCACCAUUUUCAACCUUCAGCCGCACAAUUCAUUCACUUGCUCUCUCGCUUUCACUCCAACUCUCUCUCUCUGGUCCAUUCUUCCUCAUACAUUUGCAGUGGGGAGUAUAUUAAAGGCACAUUGUGCUACACUAUU
rnacentral:lncRNA from 1 species